rnacentral:rRNA from 1 species
UACGGGGGGGGCAAGCGUUGUUCGGAUUCAUUGGGCGUAAAGAGCGCGCAGGCGGUUUGGUAAGUCGGAUGUGAAAACCCGGGGCUCAACCCCGGGCGUGCAUCUCGAUACUGCCCGACUAGAGGUAGGUAGGGGAGAUCGGAAUUCCUGGUGUAGCGGUGAAAUGCGCAGAUAUCAGGAGGAACACCGGUGGCGAAGGCGGAUCUCUGGGCCUUACCUGACGCUCAGGCGCGAAAGCUAGGGGAGCGAACAGG